rnacentral:lncRNA from 1 species
AUAAUCAAGUCAUUUCUCUCCCUAACAAGUGAGGAUUACAAUUCAAGAUGAGGUUUGGGUAGGAACACAAAGCCUGACCCUAUCCCACAGCAUGUCCAGGCUGCCCUAGCACCACCCAAUAGAAGGGAAAAUGGCAGAGGGAAAGUCCUAGUGGAAAGAGACCUCAGUCUCAGCUAAUUGUGGUGACAAUAUAUUGCUUUUGCAAAUUGUACAUAAACAUAUGACCAGGUGAAUGUAUCGCCAAGGCUCCUGCCAAGGCCUGGGAUGGAGGCCUAGAGAAGAUGCCCGAAAGUUUAUGCUGUGUGAGCUUCACAGAAGACCUGCCUUCCAUGUAUACCCAUUUUACAGGUGUCUGUGCGGUGCAGAAACUGUACAACUGUAUACAGUGACCAUUUCUACUCUGGGUCUCUAAACAAGGGCUGGUAUCGUUACAGAGACUGAAGACUGAGGAAGACCAUCUCUGUAGGAUGCCAAGGAUUGACUGGAGAAAGUCUGGAAUUUUCCACAAAUGAGUUCAUUUAUAAAGAGAAAGGCAAGCUUUGAUGACAACACCUUCACAAAAUGGAGGCCUUUGAAAACAUUGGUCUGGAUUGAGGAGUUGGAGAAGAAUGAAGUGCACAUCAACCAAACAGAAGAGAAGCAAUUUGGAGGAGGAAAAAAUCAGUUCUUCAUGAAAGGAUCACAUUGAUCUUGGUUCAUCCCAGUGCCUCCUCUGCAGACAAUCUUGUCCUCAGUCUUUCAAUUGUUUUCUUCCCAUGCCCUGACAAGCGAACCAGAUCAGGAAUUUAGGAGCAGCUUACCUAAUGGCACCUGGUUACCUAAUGGCACCCUCAACAGCUUACCUAAUGGCACCCUCACUUGGUUCUGGCUCCGGGCCUCUCACAAGAUUGUACACAUGAUGAUGGCCAAGUUUGCAGUCAUCUGAAGUCUUGACUGGAGCUGGAGACUACAUUUCCAAGAUGGCUCACUCAUAUUGCUAAAGCAAUUACAGCUCACUGCAGCCUUGACCUCCCAGGCUCAAGCAAGCCUCCUGCCUCAGCCUCCCAAGUAGUUGGGACUACAGAUCUUUUUCAAUGCAGAAGCUUAAAGAAGACACUAAAAAAUGUGUUUAAGAUCUCUUUAAACUGAAGUCUUCUGAACAAGUGAAGCAGGUACAUGCCUGGGAAGACAGCCAGGGAACAGGCAGCUACAUCAACCAAGAAGGCUGACAACAUGUUCCAUCCCACAACUAUGUGGUAAUUGCAAAGAUGAGAAAAUAGCAGAGAUCCUCCAGUCAGCCCUGGAAUGAGUUUAGGGGAGAGAAAUCAUGCAAUCUCUUAGUAACAUGGCAUCUGUAAAUUCA